CUCCCACCGUUCCACGCAUCGAUCUCUCUGACGCAGUCGUCUCCCUCCGUCUCUCAUGCUGGUUGUCUCCCUUCGUCUCCGACGCCGUCGUCUCCCUCUGUCUCUCAAGUUGACUGAUUUCAGACUCAGAAGUCAAAGAUGUUGAAACAACACUCUCGUUGCGUAUUGAAGACCACUUUUAUCGAUUAAUCGAUCCGCCUUCGUUUCUUUCAAAUGUCACCGAUUAAUAUAAAUCUCUUUUGCCAAAUCCGUUGCCGUAAACUCUUAUCCUACUCUUCGAGUUUUCAUUAUCAUAAACUCUCCCAAACAGUAAGUUCACUAAUACCUCUGUAUCGUAGCUAUUUCAAUUCACCCAUUUUGAAAUUUAGUCCUGUUUCACUUCCCACUUCGUUCCCUCAAAUGGUUGAUUGUAAAUUUGCAUUGAUUCACUCUUAUAGUUUCAAAAGUGAUUGUGAUGCAUUUGAUCAAACGCCUGGUGGGCAUGUUUCAGUUUUGAGUGGUGAUGAUGAAUUGUAUGAAAAAGAUGGUGACUACAGUUCUGAUAAUAACUCGUUAGAUGAAAAAACUAAUGCCCGUGUUCCCAUUUCCAGUGUUGCUGAGAACUUGUACAAUAUUAUUAUAGAUUGUAAGCCUAACAACCCAGAAAAUGGUGACAUGGAGAGAUCUCUUAGCCAAACUGGUGUUCAAUUGACAACACCAUUGGUGAUGGAGGUUUUAGGUAGCCUUAGGUUUCAGGAGAAGUUAGCUUUUAGGUUUUUCACAUGGGCUGGGAACCAUGAAAACUAUAAUCAUGAACCUCAUGCAUAUAAUGAGAUGAUUGACAUACUUUCAAAUACAAAAUAUAAGGCAAAGCAAUAUCGUAUCGUUUGCGAUCUUUUGGAUUACAUGAAGAGAAAUGACAAAGUUAGUGUGUCUACUGAAGCAUUGUUGAAGAUUUUGAGACAAUAUGCGGAUAAACAUUUGUCUCAUCUUCAUAAGUUUGCAAAGAAGAAGAAGGUUAAACUCAAAAAGAUGCAGCCUGAGAUCGAUGCACUUAAUGUGUUAUUAGAUGCUUUUUGCAAGUCUUGUUUGGUUGAAGAUGCUGAAGCUAUGUUUAUGAAGCUAAAGAACAAAGUCAAGCCCAAUGCCAACACCUAUAAUAUUUUGUUUUUCGGGUGGUGUAGGGUGAGAAAUCCCACCAGGAGUAUGCAAAUACUUGAUGAAAUGAUCGAAAUGGGCCAUACCCCGGAAAACUUCACGUAUAAUACGGCUAUAGAUACAUUUUGUAAAUCUGGRAUGUUCUYAGAAGCUGCUGAGCUUUUGGAGUUCAUGAGAGCAAAGGGUACACUCAUGUCUGCUCCCACUGCUAAAACAUAUUCCAUCAUGAUUGUUGCAUUUGCACGUAGCAAUAGAAUGAACGAAUGUUUUAAACUUGUGGACGAUAUGGUUUCUAGUGGUUGCCUYCCUGAUGUUUCAACCUAUAGAGAAAUGAUUGAAGGGAUGUGYUUGGCUGGGAAAAUUGAAGCUGCUUAUAGAUUCUUGGAAGAUAUGGGGAACAAAGGUUACCCUCCUGAUAUCGUCACAUAUAACUGUUUUCUCAAGGUUCUUUGUGAUCAUAAAGAUARCCAAGAAGCAGUUAAACUGUACAUGAAAAUGAUUGAGGUUGGUUGUGUGCCGAGUGUUCAAACUUAUAACAUGCUACUAAUGAUGUUCUUUAAGAUGGAUGAUCCAAAUGGGGCGUUUGAGAUUUGGCAUGAGAUGGAUUCCAGGAGAUGUAUUCGUGAUACUGAUUCUUAUUGUGUAAUGGUUGAAGGGCUUUUUGGGUGUGAAAGAACAGAGGAUGCUUGUGCUCUUUUAGAAGAAAUCUUGAAUAAAGGUAUGAAAUUGCCUUAUCAAAAAUUYGAUUMUUUCUUGAUGCAACUCUCAAGCRUAGGUGAUCUUCGUGCUAUUCAUAGACUGUCUGAACACAUGAGGAAAUUYUACAAUCCUGUUAUGGCUCGUAGAUUUGCGUUAAACCAGAAAAGGAAGAGUGUUAGUUUAAGGGGGAAGUGAUCAGCUCCUUGUUCAAGAGUUGCAUUUCUCCACCGACAAUCUUUCUUCUCAGAGGGAAUUCUUGAUUUAUGUCGCACUAAUGACUGGGGGAGCUCAAUCUUGUAGAAAUGAUAUACCUUCCAUCAAUUAUAGAUAUAAUCCUCAUGGAGGAGCUUCUUUUGACUUUGGGAUGUUACUCAAGAAGAUUAUGCUCCCAGCUCCCAUGAUAAUGGCAAACACCCUGCUAAACAAGCUGAAGCCAGAUCAUUAUACUAAGCACGGCUGAUCUCAUUUCAGGAGCCGGCCAGUUAUGGAAUUUUGCCUCUUCGUCUCUUCUUGUUUUACGUCAUAAGUCAACAUCAACACAGAAAAAUGAUAGCCUUCAGAAAGAGAACACAUUUUAUUAUCCAGCCGAGGAAGGAAAUAUAAUUGCGUCUAUUUCUUCUGAGGGUCAGAAUGUCUCAGUAAAUUUAGAGGCCGAUAGCCAUGUUUCACCUACAGUGAAUGUGCAAAAAGACUCGGACUCUGUAUGUGUAGCCAAAAAACUCUUUUUUUGAUUGUUGCAUUGAGAGUCAGAGUUGCCUGCUUACUGCUUAUGGUAAGAUGAUGCUAUAUUGCAAAGAGAAAGGGGAUUCUAGUGUAAUGAUAUAUGAAUUGCGAAAUAUAUAUGGAUGGAUGAGCAACAUACAGCUUUCGAGUCCAACGUAUAACGUGAACUCUACUGAACAUGAUAAGAAAAGAACUGAUUACUGCUUUAAUGCUAGAGAAACAGCUAGUGUUGAAAGAAGUAAUCCAGAAAAGACUAGGCUUGAUGACGGUAUGACUACAAAAACUGGAUUAGCUGAAACUCAGGAAUCUUCAUCGCGGGAAUAUGCAAACAAUAUGAUGAAAACAAGCACAGGUGUUAUGUCUCUGCUCAGAGUAUCUUCUUCGUCCUAUACAGGAUGUUGAGGCAGAUGGUAAUGGCUCCAUCGUUCCAACUUCUGACCUUCAACCUGACUCCAACAUGAAGUAUCAAGGUUUAGGUACGAGUCCUUACUUAGAAUGGCAGCAUGGGAAAGAGGACGAGUUAAGUAAGAUCAAAGAAGGUCAAGAAAGGCAAGUUGUCAAGCAGGAAAGUUCUGCCAUGCAGAUUUUUUCAUUAACACCAUAUAAACUACAGUAUGGACUCACAAAGCAAGAGCAUGCUUUUGCUGGAGCAUUUGCUGGUAUAUUUGUCAGCCUGUGUCUGCAUCCCAUGGAUACAGUUAAGACUGUCGUUCAGUCUUGCUGUACUGACCAAAGAUCUAUUCAAUACUUGGGCAAAUCAAUUCUGCAUGAAAGAGGUUUAUCAGGACUUUACUGUGGAAUUGCAAGCAAUAUUGUUUCUUCAGCACCUAUUUCUGCAAUUUACACUUUCAGUUAUGAAUCAGUAAAGGGAGCAUUGCUUCCCCUCUUUAUCAAGGUGAAGGGUUUUCUUCCGUUAUUUGCAAUUUCCCUGCCUAUAAUACAUUCUUGCUUUACAGUGUUCUGUUUCGUGUCAAUUUUAAGGCAUUCUGACAAGAUUUUUGCGCUAAAAAGUUGGAAAAUUGUUUUCUUGUUGAGUUGAUAUCUGGGCCUGCAUAGUUUAUACAAACUAGUUGUUCAAAUUUCUUUGCUGUUUGUAGCUUAUUUGAAAAUCAAGAAUUCUAGAAAUCAAAUGGUAUAAAUUUAUACAUCAUCCUAUGAUAUCAUGUACUACU